UACAGAGGGUGCAAGCGUUAAUCGGAAUUACUGGGCGUAAAGCGUGCGUAGUCGGUUAUUUAAGUCGGAUGUGAAAUCCCCGGGCUCAACCUGGGAAUUGCAUUCGAUACUGGAUAGCUAGAGUUCGGCAGAGGGAAGCGGAAUUUCGGGUGUAGCGGUGAAAUGCGUAGAUAUCCGAAGGAACAUCAGUGGCGAAAGCGACUUCCUGGACCAGUACCGACGUUCAGGCACGAAAGCGUGGGGAGCAAACAGG
rnacentral:rRNA from 1 species